UGUAGUCUCAACGAUGAUGCAUACAUGUCAACCAUGGGUGUUGGCUCCAACAAUUCGCAUUGGUAUCAAACCAAUGACAUCCAUUUCGAAGACCAUGAGUUCAAGGUGGACGAGGAGGGUGAGGGCAUUGUCGACGUGCCGAAAGGAAGAGCGGGCAAUUACACCAACAAAGAUGACAUCUUACUAUGCAAUACUUGGUUGCAAGUGUCGAGGGAUCCAUCCGUUGGAGGUGAUCAAAGUAGAGAUGCUUAUUGGGGGCGGAUGAAAGAACACUUUGAUGCUCACAACGUUAGUGGAAUUGACCGCUCCGAGAGAUCACUUCGGUCCCGAUGGUCGACAAUCAACUUGGAUUGUCAAAAGUGGGCGGGCGGCCGCACAAAAGGUGGUUGA
rnacentral:rRNA from 1 species